GUUGCCUGAUCAAAAUGGGUGCUUCUCUUAAAUGCCUUGAUAAUAGAAGCUGAUGUCACUUCCUGUCCUGACUCCUCCUCUUCCCUUUCUGUAUUGUAAUCUCAUUGGAGUGGUUGAAAGAAGCAGAAAUAGAGGACAGGGUAGUGUGGAGGAGGAUGAUCCGCUGUGGCGCCCCCUAAAGGGAGCAGCCGAAAUAAUUUUUAAUUUUUUCUCACUGAAGUUUUUGUGUGAGGUUUCUUUAUCUAUCUGUGAAUAUUUUACACUUUUUGUUUGUAUUUUUAUGAAUGUGAGGGCACAUGGUGAUAAGUCUACCACACACACAAUAAGUGAAAUAUCACCACAGGGGCUGCUGAUUUGUUGUGUGUUUUUUAGAAGAAACAUUAAACACUUCCAGUGAGCUGCA